GGGUCAGUAGGUUGGUCGUGCCACCGGUACGUACUGGUCUCACUGAUUCCUCCUUCCUGAAGAACCGUAAUGCCAUUAAUUUGGUGUUGCGGGGAAACAGGACUGUUACUUUGAAGAAAUUAGAGUGUUUAAAGCAAGCUAACGCUUGAAUACAUUAGCAUGGAAUAAUGAAAUAGGACGAUCGAUCCUAUUUUGUUGAUUUCUAGGAUUGACGUA
rnacentral:rRNA from 1 species